rnacentral:rRNA from 1 species
GACGAACGCUGGCGGCGUGCUUAACACAUGCAAGUCGAACGGUAAGGCUCCAGCUUGCUGGGGUACACGAGUGGCGAACGGGUGAGUAACACGUGGGUGACCUGCCCUGCACUUCGGGAUAAGCCUGGGAAACUGGGUCUAAUACCGGAUAGGACCGCACCGUGGGGGUGUGGUGGAAAGUUUUUUCGGUGUGGGAUGGGCCCGCGGCCUAUCAGCCUGUUGGUGGGGUAAUGGCCUACCAAGGCGGCGACGGGUAGCCGGCCUGAGAGGGUGGACGGCCACAUUGGGACUGAGACACGGCCCAGGCUCCUACGGGAGGCAGCAGUGGGGAAUAUUGCACAAUGGGCGGAAGCCUGAUGCAGCGACGCCGCGUGGGGGAUGACGGCCUUCGGGUUGUAAACUCCUUUCACCAUCGACGAAGGGUUUCUGACGGUAGAUGGAGAAGAAGCACCGGCUAACUACGUG